AGUCUUACUGAAGCAGCUUAGCAUUCAAUCUGCAGCCACCUACUCCCAGGGAGAGCCAUUGUUUAAUAUUAAUGUUCACCUAAAUUGAAGCAACGCCCUGCUGCCUUCACAGCCAUUCAAGGAGAAAUUCUCACCCUCAGAGAGAGGUAAAGAGAGAAAAAGAAUAAAGUGUGCCUGCUUGCUUACCCGCCUGACACAAUGUUCUGGGAAAGGAAACAAUGUUCUCUCCCUAAAAAGUC
rnacentral:lncRNA from 1 species